UUGUACGAUAAAUUGUUUGUAUAAAAAUUUAAUAUGAAAUGUUACGAGAUGAGAACCACUGAGGGUACAAUAUCAGACCGGCUCCACCUAGCAUAGGGUGAACGGGUCGGAGGCCGUUGGUUCCUCAUAGAGUCGCUCUCUUCUUAUUAUUAUUACAGGAACGCGCGCGCAGCAGCGCGCACACGAGCGUCGUCGUCGUCGAACGCACGCACGCCCUGACGUACGCAUGCGCGAACAGAGCUCUGCUGAGGAGUAGGAGUUGGAGGAGAAGUAAAAGGAAGAAGAAGGGGGUUUGAGGGAUAGAAGGAAAAGUGGUAGGGAUGAAAACAGGUUGACUCUCUCUCUCUCUCUUUCUCACUCACUCACUCUCUCUUAUUCGUCCGCGCGCGCACGCGAGGCAUCGUGCUGACCAUGUCGAAGAGUGGGAGGCAAUAGUGCUCUGUUAAAUCGUCAUGGUGGGAGAAAAUCACAGCGCAAGAGGAGAAGGAGGAGGAGACGAAGUAGGUAGGGAAGAGAACAUCGAGGAUCUGUAACGAUACGUAGAAUAAAGAGGGUUAAAUCGUACGAUGCGUCAGGUUGGUGUAUAGAGGGCGAACAACAAAUACGUCUCCAAUCCAGAACCCGCAUGCUCGAUCGGAAGAUUACCACACCUACUGUUGGUGCAUGCGCGAUCACGCGCCUUUUACCUGUCAUCCGUGAGUAAUAAUCUUGUAAAGGUACGCUGCACCGCGUGUGGAUUAUAUAGAAGGCUGCUGAAGGGGGUGGGGUGGGGUAUAGUCCAGGAGAAGAACGAGGAGAAGGAGAAAGAAGACGAAGAAGAAGGAGAAGAAGAAGAAGAAGAAGAAGAAAGGAUCAACAACCUGCGGGCACUCCUCUCUCCUGGCUUGGAAGGUAGAAUUCUCCUCCGGCGAAAGCAAUGAACUAUGCUGACAACGGCAGAUCUAUCCGCGCCUUUACUCCGUACCUUUCCUAUGGCGUACACCGCACAUACCUAUAGACUAGGUAUUUCUACCAACCUUCCAUACCUAACGGUCGCACAAGAAACUUCAGCCAUUAUUGCGGUGAUUGCCGGUGGUACCUGUUAACGCGUAUCCACGCAGAUAUCCGUAGCUACUGCCACCACGAUCGGCAUCGGUGGAUAGACAAGGUUAAUGCCACUCAGAGAGAGGAUCGAAAGGAUCCAAGCUACGUAAUAUCCUAGUUUAUCGACCACACCCAAUCAAAGAAAUCGAGAUCAGGAGUUAUUUUUCUAUUCUUAAGAAACGAACGUUUUAUACUUAACGUAAGUAUUUCGAAAGAAUUAAAUCUAAAGGAAUGAUCGUUCAUUCGUUGUACUUAGUUAUAUUAUGAGAGAAUAAGCAUUAAUGUAGAAGAAAAUGUUUGAAUCUAAAAUAUACUUGAUACUUUGUUAGAUACGUAGUUUUAAUUAAUUAUACGGAUAAAAGUUGUAAUGAAGUAAAAUGAUUUUCUUUUC